rnacentral:rRNA from 1 species
CCCUAUGGGGUGCACCAGAUGCGGGGUCAAUUAAAGUUGCUAAAAGUUAUGCUGGUAAAUUAGGCUGUGGUGUGGCUAUGAUUUAUAAGCACAGAACAGCCCCUUCUGAAAUUGGUGAAAUGUUCUUAAUUGGUGACGUUGCUGAAAAACAUUGUAUUAUAGUAGAUGAUAUGGUAGAUAGUGGGGGCACCUUAGUUAAGGCGGCCAACCUUUUAACUUCAUAUAAAGCAUCUUCUGUAGAAUGUUACUGUACUCAUCCUGUACUAAGUGGAAGUGCUUUUGAUAAAAUUGACAGAUCAUUUAUAGAAAAAUUGUAUGUAACAGAUACUAUUAAUAACUUAGGUAUUCGUAUGUCUUCUAGAAUUGGCGGGGAGGGC